GGACUAACAGGUUGGUCGCGCCUUCGGUGUGUACUGGUCUAGUUGGUUUCUCCCUUCUGAUGAACCACGAUGUCAUUAAUUUGGUGUCGUGGGGAAUCAGGACUGUUACUUUGAAAAAAUUAGAGUGUUUAAAGCAGGCAUUAGCUUGAAUACAUUAGCAUGGAAUAAUAGAAUAGGACU
rnacentral:rRNA from 1 species